GAUGAAGAACGUAGCAAAAUGUGAUACUUGGUGUGAAUUGCAGAAUCCCGUGAACCAUCGAGUUUUUGAACGCAAGUUGCGCCCGAAGCCUUUUGGCCGAGGGCACGUCUGCCUGGGCGUCACGCAUCGCGUCGCCCCCCACAAUUCUCCGUAAAGGGAACAUGUGUUUUGGGGGCGGAUAUUGGUCUCCCGUGCUCAUGGCGUGGUUGGCCGAAAUAGGAGUCCUUUCGAUGGACGCACGAACUAGUGGUGGUCGUAAAAACCCUCGUCUUUUGUUUCGUGCUGUUGCUCGCAAGGUAAACUCUUUAAAAACCCCUAUGUGUCGUCUCUUGACGACGCUUCGACCGCGACCCCAGGUCAGGCGGGACUACCCGCUGAGUUUAAGCAUAUCAAUAAGCGGAGGA
rnacentral:misc_RNA from 1 species